rnacentral:rRNA from 1 species
GAGUUUGAUCCUGGCUCAGAUUGAACGCUGGCGGCAGGCCUAACACAUGCAAGUCGAGCGGAAACGAGUUAUCAGAACCUUCGGGGGACGAUAACGGCGUCGAGCGGCGGACGGGUGAGUAAUGCCUAGGAAAUUGCCCUGAUGUGGGGGAUAACCAUUGGAAACGAUGGCUAAUACCGCAUGAUGCCUACGGGCCAAAGAGGGGGACCUUCGGGCCUCUCGCGUCAGGAUAUGCCUAGGUGGGAUUAGCUAGUUGGUGAGGUAAGGGCUCACCAAGGCGACGAUCCCUAGCUGGUCUGAGAGGAUGAUCAGCCACACUGGAACUGAGACACGGUCCAGACUCCUACGGGAGGCAGCAGUGGGGAAUAUUGCACAAUGGGCGCAAGCCUGAUGCAGCCAUUCCGCGUGUGUGAAGAAGGCCUUGGGGUGGAAAGCACU